rnacentral:lncRNA from 1 species
AGAGCACCCCUGCGGCCUGGGUUAGGGGAACUAGGAGAAGCCCCUCUCCCACGCCACUUAUCCUGAUGACCGAUCCCCGCAGCCCGGGGCCCGCCUGAUCCCCCAAGCGCCGCGGACUCACGGCCUUCAGCUGCUCCAGCCGGUCCUUCAUCCUGGCCCAGGUGAGGGCGGCGGGCGCCUUGUCUCAGGUGAGCGCGUCCCAAGUGAGCGGCCUGGAGCGGCGGCGGCUGCCGGCCGGGGCGAGAGAGCUGCUAGAGCGGGCGGAGGCGGGCGGCGGCCGCUCUCGAGGAGGAGCGUCCGAGGCCACCGAGGUCCGCCGCGCCGCCCCCUCCGGCCCCCGCCGGCGCCGCGCUCCAAAUCCGGCUACGAGACCGCGCCGGCUCAGGGCUCGCCCGCCCCUGGGCCCGCCCCAUACCUGGGCCGCUCCCCGAGCUCCUGCUUAAAGGGCCAGCGCGCUCCAGCGCCGGAAGCAUUCCGGGCACACCUUCCCAUGCCCCUCGAAAGGCAGAAACAAAAAAAAAAAAAAAAAAAGGCGGGGGUGGUCUGUCUGGCUUCGAUUCCGUAUUUUCCGCACUGUUCUUAUUGUUCGGCCCUCUGCGGACUCCUCAGGUUGAAGACAAGCUGGUUCCUGCUCCCUUUGAUGAGGGAAAACGUUCCGAUGAUGCUCAAGAGAUAUUCCGCCUUAAAGAAGGGACCUGUUGGGUAUAAAAUCUGUGCGGUUCGGGCUCAGAGACUUGUUCCCGUAGGGCGUAACUGCAGAUGAGAUGCCCUGGAUCGGGCUGCGGCGAGGAAUUUGGGGAUUAUGAUGCUAGUGGUUGUGGGGCCUCUCGAAGUCGUGUAGGCGGUCCAGUCACCUUUUACUAACAAUUUGAAUAACUUGAGGGAAUCUAGGAGAGUCCGUUUCCAUAGCUAUAUAAAUCAGAGGCUGCUUAGCAAUUUUCUGCUUAGCCUGUACGAGAAAAGAAGCAACUGACUUUUAACUACCGGGCAGAGUUGUAGGAUAAAGACGUUUGUUUGAUUUGGAAAACUUAAGCCCACCUCUCUCCUCCUUGCUGUCAAGAGCCCUGGGAUUUGAAGAAUUUUUAGAAAAGUGUGGUUCUUCUCACUGCCCUUCCUCUUCAACGGUGCCCCUAUUCCCUUCCCCUCCGUAUUUGAUUUGGGGAUAACAAAUGGCGUAUCGACCAGAGUAGUGGUCAACAAUUGGCGCUAGUGAAGACUUGGUCUCAAGUUCGAGAAGUAUCCUCGACUUUGUGUUCAAUCUUAAAGGCCAUAGAUACUUUCUAAUUAUAACCGGACUUUACCCUCUGCGAUGUGCACGCUCCUACUGACUUCCUCCGCUGCCAUAAAGGUAGUCAAGUAAGGCAGGGCUUGAGCUGUUAGAGCCAACUAUGCGGUAAUCAACUCUAAUCCUCUAUCUGACCUCCGGCUCCUGUCCUGACGCUGGCCCAGCGAGGACUGCGAAAGUUUCCACGCCCCCUGGUGGUCGUAACCCUACAGCUAGGGCUUGAACACCCCCACCCCAGCCCAGCAAACACUUGGAAAACCUUCCGCCACCGAGCUCAUUCUCUAGCAUCAGCCCUUAGGUUUUCUCCUUUCAGACAGAAUCUCCCUGAAUUGCCCAGGCAAGCUUUGAACUUGCCAUUCUCCUGUUUCAACCUCUCCAGUAAGAGGGGUUACAGUGAAAAACUCUCGAAGUGUGGACGUCUGAAAUCUGGACAGAAGUGAGGAAGGAGGAUGGAUUCAUUUUGAAGCAAGAACAAAGGAUUCCAGUUAAGACGCGAUUGAUUUUAGGCUGCAAAAAACGGCCCUGCAGUAAAGAACACUGACUGGAGGACCUGGGUUCAAUUCCCAGCAUCCACAUGGUGACACACAGUUCCAGGGGAUGCAACGCCCUCUUCUGGGCUCUGCAGAGGUUACACACAUGUGGUAUACAGACAUAAUGCAGGCAAAAACAUUCAUACAAGUAAAAAAAAAAUUUUUUUAAGUCCCAGCAAAUUAUUUUAAAGGAUAUAAUUGAUUUCAACAGGGAAAAAAUUGUGACUCUCAUGCAAAUAUAAAAUGAAUAUAUUUUAAUGUUUUAGCUUAUUAGUGAAGCAACCAGUAAGAGGUUAAACUCAUUCAGAUCCACAGACAAACAGCAGGAAGGCUGGCAUGAAUAGGUUACUUGAUGCAAAACUAGCUCUGGGGAUGGGAGAAGAAACCGUGCUUCUCCUGUACACUAAGUCCUUAUAAUCUCCAUGAAUAGAAGCACUCUGCUUACUACCGAUAUCUAAUUUACAUAGCUGGACAAUAGCUGUGAUACAAUGAAAGUCACAGACUAUUAUAGAAUCAGAAAGGUGCAUUAGAUAAGGCCACCAUAGGAUACAUAGCAUGGAACAGCUUUUUGUUAGUGGUCACUGGUCAUUUUAAUUUGCUCAGUUUUUCUGUAUACUCCCAAGGUAGUACCUUCCAUGACUGAAUGGUACCAGCUCUGUUAAAAAGUUAUUAUACAGAACAAGUUUUCUUCCCUAUUACUUCUUGCCUUAAUCCAGACACU